CUCACCGAACCUAACAAUCCACCCGGGGACAGCAUCGGGCCACGUCAAUAUCUAAAGCGAAACGAGUAAAUACAGAAUGGUUGGAGUCUGGAAUGUACAGACAGAAGAGGUGGUGGACGUAUGUCUCUUACAACAUUUAAGAUACACCCAGCAAAGGAAGAUGAGAUUUGAAAGGGGUGUUGAAGAAUAUAAGUAGCACAGUGGACAGCCAGCACCUUUUGCCCCAGGGCAAUACUAGAGGACAUCCUUUUAAGAUAUCCAAUGGCCAAAGACUACCUUUCACACCAUCAAUAACAGCAAUUUUUUCAUCCAAAUUACUGAUAUUUCCUGGAUCCCCUAGAUCUUACCUUUGAACGAGCCUCCCUGCCAUAGGCCUUAUUGAAGUCCAUGUAAACUACCCUGACAAACCUCCUCAAAAAUCUGUUUUAGAACAUCACAAUAAAGACACAUGCAUAUCCUUGAUCAAUCGCUACCUUUGUAAGUACUGAUUAAUUUCAUCCCCCAGAAAUAUUUACUAAAUUUUCUGGCACUGGUAUUAGACUCACUGGGUAUCAUCACAUCUGACUUGUUCCUCCUAAGUACCACCUUCAAUGUACCUCAUUCACCUGGCAUCUCUUCUGUAACGGCCUGGUGCAGAGCCAACAACCUGUCUCUGAAUGUGAACAAAACAAACGAGAUGGUUGUUGACUUCAGGAGGGCACGGAGCGAACACUCCCUGCUGAACAUCGAUGGCUCCUCGGUAGAGAUCGUUAAGAGCACCAAAUUUCUUGGUGUUCACCUGGCGGAGAAUCUCACCUGGUCCCUCAACACCAGCUCCAUAGCAAAGAAAGCCCAGCAGCAUCUCUACUUUCUGAGAAGGCUGAGGA